CCCCUUUGAAAUCGCCGGCGGGGCGCCUAUAUUGCGCGCUGUCCGGGCAACCGGACUAUGGUGAUAAACGCGCACGUAAUAAGCGGAUCGGACCCGGGGGCGGUACCCGGCGGCUCCACCAAGCACCCUCGUUGGGGGCGGACGGGGCCGAAACAGGAUCGACGGACGUCUAAAGGUGUUUGCUUUCACUCGGCAGGAUGCCACCGUUACCGGCUCAAGAGCAAUAGUUGCCAACGACAACCGUGCUCCGGUGGCGCUCGCCGCGUAAGCGGCUAGCAAAACCAAAUCUAAGUCCCGGGCCUUAGCCGGUUCGGGCGGGGUUCGCAGGCACCUGGCAACAGAAGCCUGCACU
rnacentral:tmRNA from 1 species